GGGACCCCGGGGCCGAGCGCGCCGCCGGGACCCCCGAGUCUGCGCCGGAGCCUGCCAGAAAAAUCAGUUUUCUUCUGUGGGGGGUGAACAUCCAUAGCAUCGAUCUCACGGAUCUGGUAACAUGGCCAAAGAUAAUUCAUGGCUUUCUGUGUGGAAUGGCAUUGGAAAAACUCUGGGAUGGGAUUAUAAGCAGAAAGCUACAGCUCCAUCAGAAGUGUUGCUGUGGAGCAUCUUGCUGUAAAACAGUGUGAUCCUGAGGACUCUCUGCGGUCCAGGCUUAGGACAGUGGCUGGUGUUUUUGUAACUUCCUGAGUCUUGUGACAGUGCAACAUAAGUAUAGCCCAUCAGGCCUGUUCAGCCUGGGGCAAGAUCUUCCUUCCUCUGUCUGGAAGUGUUAAUGAAAGAUGAGUGGAUAAAGAAGAUGUGGUCUAUGUAUACGAUGGAAUAUUCCUCAGCCAUUAGAAACGACAAAUACCCACCAUUUGCUUCGACGUGGA